rnacentral:rRNA from 1 species
UACGUAGGGGGCAAGCGUUGUCCGGAAUCAUUGGGCGUAAAGAGCGCGUAGGCGGCCCGGUAAGUCCGCUGUAAAAGUCCAGGGCUCAACCCUGGAAAGCCGGUGGAUACUGUCGGGCUAGAGUCCGGAAGAGGCGAGUGGAAUUCCUGGUGUAGCGGUGAAAUGCGCAGAUAUCAGGAAGAACACCCGUGGCGAAGGCGGCUCUCUGGGACGGUACUGACGCUGAGACGCGAAAGCGUGGGGAGCGAACAGG